rnacentral:misc_RNA from 1 species
GAUGAAGAACGCAGUGAAAUGCGAUAAGUAAUGCGAAUUGCAGAAUUCAGUGAAUCAUCGAAUCUUUGAACGCACAUUGCGCACGCUAGUAUUCUGGCGGGCAUGCCUGUCUGAGCGUCAUUUCAACCCUCGCCCCCGGCUUUUGCUGGGAGCGGUGUUGGGGAUCGGCCGCCCGUCACUGGGAGGCCGGCCCCGAAAUAGAGUGGCGACCACGCCGUGUGCUCCUCUGCGUAGUAGUAAAUCACCUCGCAGGCGGACAGCGGUGCGGCCUGCCGUAAAACCCCCAACUCUUUCUGGUUGACCUCAGAUCAGGUAGGAAUACCCGCUGAACUUAAGCAUAUCAAUAAGCGGAGGA